rnacentral:tRNA from 1 species
GUUUCUGUGGCGCAAUCGGUUAGCAUGUUUGGCUGUUAACUGAAAGGUUGGUGGUUCAAGCCCACCCAGGGACG